rnacentral:misc_RNA from 1 species
GAUGAAGAACGUAGUGAAAUGCGAUAAGUAAUGUGAAUUGCAGAAUUCAGUGAAUCAUCGAAUCUUUGAACGCACAUUGCGCCCGCCAGUAUUCUGGCGGGCAUGCCUGCUCGAGCGUCAUUACAACCCUCAGGCCCCCGGGCCUGGCGUUGGGGAUCGGCGGAAGCCCCCUGCGGGCACAACGCCGUCCCCCAAAUACAGUGGCGGUCCCGCCGCAGCUUCCAUUGCGUAGUAGCUAACACCUCGCAACUGGAGAGCGGCGCGGCCACGCCGUAAAACACCCAACUUCUGAAUGUUGACCUCGAAUCAGGUAGGAAUACCCGCUGAACUUAAGCAUAUCAAUAAGCGGAGGA